GUAGUUAGCCGGGGCUUCCUCGACAGGUACCGUCAUUGUGUUCGUCCCUGUCAACAGAAGUUUACAAUCCGAAAACCUUCAUCCUUCACGCGGCGUUGCUGGGUCAGGCUUGCGCCCAUUGCCCAAUAUUCCCCACUGCUGCCUCCCGUAGGAGUCUGGACCGUGUCUCAGUUCCAGUGUGGCCGAUCAGCCUCUCAGCUCGGCUACCCAUCGUUGACUAGGUGGGCCGUUACCUCACCUACUAUCUAAUGGGACGCGAGCCCCUCAAUCAGCGGAUUGCUCCUUUGACCUCUCUGUCAUGAGACAGUGUGGUCUUAUGCGGUAUUAGCAACGAUUUCUCGUUGUUAUCCCCCUCUGAAAGACAGGUUGCUCACGCGUUACUCACCCGUUCGCCACUCACUUUCGCCCCGAAGGGCUAAGUUCGUUCGACUUGCAUGUGUUAGGCACGCCGCCAGCGUUCGUCCUGAGCCAGGAUCAAACUCUGA
rnacentral:rRNA from 1 species